AUGCAAAUGUCCGCUGUGUGUUUUCAUUUCAGGAUCCCUCAAGACUUUGUUAUGGAUUUUGUCUCUGGGAACACAGACUCUGCUUUUCAAGAUGAUUCUCUCUCUACCAUUGUAUUGGUUCCUCCUCCUGGGCUCAGCAGCCUGGAAAUAGAAACAGCAGUGGUGGCUGAUUGUCUUGAUCCAGACGGAAGUUGUGUGGCAGGUAAGGCCAAAGGAUAAGGUGAAGAAUGGUGUUGAUGGUAAUGCUGAGAGAGUCCUGGAAGUGAGUUAUCAACCCUGGUGCAUAUCAAUCCUGUGUAAGUGACAGUGACAAAGAGCUGGAGUGGAUGGUAUAGUAUAGCGGCUGGAAGCCUCAAAGCAGGAGUUUUGCAUGACAGUGGAAGGAUAGUUGUUUGUUUUGUUUUGCAUUUACCCAUUUCCUCUGUUGAAUUUUUCUUUCCCUUUUUUUUAGAUUGCAUCAUUCACUGCUUUGCCUUCUUGGAUGACUCAGAACAUAAUAUAACCUUGUUUUGUGACUCAGAGAGGCCAUUAUGACCAUCUGCUUUUGCCUUGGACCUCUGAGGCAUGUAGGAAUAUGUCUUUCUCUAUUAAAUGGAUUUCUUUGCUUUUGAAAUUCUAUCUCCUUCAACUUCCAGCUUUACUCUUUUUGGUGUCAGAGGCUGAGAUCAGUGUAUUCUAGGUUCUUCUAAUGUGCAGUUGUUUGACCAAAGAUUGACUCCGUGCAUCUCCUGUGAAGUUCAUGAGUUUUGUGAUAGCAAUUUUACAUGCUGUUUAUAGAUGCUUUUUUCAUCUUCUAGGUUUGUGAUUAUAUUAUGGCAGAAGUUAUGAGAAAUAUGAUCUCCAGAGAAGUGUUGGUGCUUCUGUAAUUUGUUAUAAACUAUUUUUGGCAAGCUAGUUCUCUAGCAUUGAAGAAUUUAAUGAAUAAGUUUGUAUUCACUUUAUCCACAAUCAUUUUUUUUAUUGUGGUCAUAAUAGCUUAUCACAUAGUGAGAUUUCAGUUGUACAUUAUUAUUUGUCAUAUACCGUAUAAGUAUGCCCCUUCACCCCUUGUACCCACCCUCCACCCCUCUUCCCCCGGUAACCACUGAUUUGUUCUCUUUGUCUGUAAGUUUGUUUAUAUUCCACAUAUGAGUGAAAUCAUAUGGUGUUUGUCUUUCUCUGUCUGACUUAUUUCGCUUAACAUGAUGCCCUCAAGGGCCAUCCAUGUGGUUGUGAAUGG
rnacentral:lncRNA from 1 species